rnacentral:rRNA from 1 species
GACGAACGCUGGCGGCGUGCUUAACACAUGCAAGUCGAGCGGUAAGGCCCUUUCGGGGUACGACGAGCGGCGAACGGGUGAGUAACACGUGGGUGACCUGCCCUUAGCUCUGGGAUAAGCCUGGGAAACUGGGUCUAAUACCGGAUAUGACUCCAUGACGCAUGUUGUGGGGUGGAAAGCCUUGUGCGGCUAGGGAUGGGCCCGCGGCCUAUCAGCUUGUUGGUGGGGUGAUGGCCUACCAAGGCGACGACGGGUAGCCGGCCUGAGAGGGCGACCGGCCACACUGGGACUGAGGCACGGCCCAGACUCCUACGGGAGGCAGCAGUGGGGAAUCUUGCGCAAUGGGCGAAAGCCUGACGCAGCGACGCCGCGUGGGGAUGACGGCCUCGGUUGUAAC